rnacentral:rRNA from 1 species
AGGCAGCAGUGAGGAAUAUUGGACAAUGGGUUAGCGCCUGAUCCAGCCAUCCCGCGUGAAGGACGACGGCCCUAUGGGUUGUAAACUUCUUUUGUACAGGGAUAAACCUAUUUACGUGUAAAUAGCUGAAGGUACUGUACGAAUAAGCACCGGCUAACUCCGUGCCAGCAGCCGCGGUAA